UACGUAGGGGGCAAGCGUUGUCCGGAAUCAUUGGGCGUAAAGCGCGUGUAGGCGGCUCGAUAAGUCCGCUCUGAAAAGUCCAGGGCUCAACCCUGGGAUGCGGGUGGAUACUGUCGGGCUCGAGUCCGGAAGAGGCGAGUGGAAUUCCUGGUGUAGCGGUGAAAUGCGCAGAUAUCAGGAAGAACACCCGUGGCGAAGGCGGCUCUCUGGGACGGUACUGACGCUGAGACGCGAAAGCGUGGGGAGCGAACAGG
rnacentral:rRNA from 1 species